rnacentral:lncRNA from 1 species
AUGAAAGUUGAGCUAAAACAACAAGAGAAUGACUUGGAAACAUCCAAAGAAGAUCUACAAAAGCAGAGGGAUGACAUCAAGAACAUGCAAUACAGCAUUCAAAAAGAGAAAGAUCACCUGGCUCAGAAGAAGGAUGAGGUUGAUCAACAAAACAAAAUGGUGGAUGAUUUGAUUGAAAGGUACAAUAAAGAGAAAGAUCAGCUGGAACUGUCUAAAUCAAAAAUUGCUGAGGAAAAAUCAAAAGUAGAAAAAAUGAUGGAGGACACUUUCCUGUCAGAGAAAGAAGAGCUUGAAAGAAAAAAGAAAGACUUAGAAAAGCAGCAAAAGGAAAUAAUGAUUUACAAAAACGUGAUUGACAAAGACAAGAAAGAGUUAGAGCAAAAGAGGUCAGAUCUCUCUAAGCAAGUCAAGGAAUUUGAGCUCCACAAAGAACGGGUCCAAGAUCAAAUCAACCAAAAUGAGAUUGUUAAUUUGGAUUUACAAAAACAGAGACAUGAACUUCAGAACAUGAAAGACAUCCUUCAGAAAGAAAAGGUUGAUUUAAAUCAAAUGAAAGUUGAGCUAAAACAACAAGAGAAUGACUUGGAAACAUCCAAAGAUGAUCUACAAAUGCAGAGGGAUGACAUGAAGAACAUGCAAUACAACCUUCAAAAAGAGAAAGAUCACCUGGCUCAGGAGAAGGAUGAGGUCGAUCAACAAAAGAAAAUGGUGGAUGAUUUGAUUGAAAGGUACAAUAAAGAGAAAGAUCAGCUGGAACUGUCUAAAUCAAAAAUUGCUGAGGAAAAAUCAAAAGUUGAAAAGAUGAUGGAGGACACUUUCCUCUCAGAGAAAGAAGAGCUUGAAAGAAAAAAGAAAGACUUAGAGAAACAGCAAAAGGAAAUAAUGACUUGCAAAAACUUGAUGGACAAAGACAAGAAAGAGUUAGAAAAACAGAGAUCAGAUCUCUCCAAACAACUGGAUGAAAUUGAACUCAACAAGAAUUGGGUCCAACAACUAGAGAAAUCCAAAAUGGAUCUUCAAAAACAGAGAAAUGAAGUAGACAACAUACAAUACAGCAUUCAGAAAGAGAAGAUCCACCUGACUCAGAAGAAGGCGGAAAUAGAUGAAAAACAGAAACAGGUUGAUGAUUUGAUUAAAAUGUACAAGAAAGAGAAAGAUCAGCUGGAACUGUCUAGAUCAGAAAUUGCUGAGGAAAAAUCAAAGCAUCAGAAAAUGAUGGAGGACACUUUCCUAUCAGAGAAAGAAGAGCUUGAAAGAAAAAAGAAAGACUUAGAAAAACAGCAAAAGGAAACAAUGACUUACAAAAACAUGAUUGACAAAGACAAGAAAGAGUUAGAGCAAAAGACGUCAGAUCUCUCUAAGCAAGUCAAGGAAUUUGAGCUCCACAAAGAACGGGUCCAAGAUCAAAUCAACCAAAAUGAGAUUGUUAAUGUGGAUUUACAAAAACAGAGACAUGAAAUUCAGAACAUGAAAGACAUCCUUCAGAAAGAAAAGGAUGAUUUAAAUCAAAUGAAAGUUGAGCUAAAACAACAAGAGAAUGACUUGGAAACAUCCAAAGAAGAUCUACAAAAGCAGAGGGAUGACAUCAAGAACAUGCAAUACAGCAUUCAAAAAGAGAAAGAUCACCUGGCUCAGAAGAAGGAUGAGGUUGAUCAACAAAAGAAAAUGGUGGAUGAUUUGAUUGAAAGGUACAAUAAAGAGAAAGAUCAGCUGGAACUGCCUAAAUCAAAAAUUGCUGAGGAAAAAUCAAAAACAGAAAAAAUGAUGGUGGACACUUUCCUGUCAGAGAAAGAAGAGCUUGAAAGAAAAAAGAAAGACUUAGAAAAGCAGCAAAAGGAAAUAAUGAUUUACAAAAACGUGAUUGACAAAGACAAGAAAGAGUUAGAGCAAAAGAGGUCAGAUUUCUCCAAGCAAGUCAAGGAAUUUGAGCUCUACAAAGAACGGGUCCAAGAUCAAAUCAACCAAACUGAGAUUGUUAAUGUGGAUUUACAAAAACAGAGACAUGAAAUUCAGAACAUGAAAGAUAUCCUUCAGAAAGAAAAGGAUGAUUUAAAUCAAAUAAAAGUUGAGCUAAAACAACAAGAGAAUGACUUGGAAACAUCCAAAGAUGAUCUACAAAAGCAGAGGGAUGACAUGAAGAACAUGCAUUACAACCUUCAAAAAGAGAAAGAUCACUUGGCUCAGGAGAAGGAUGAGGUCGAUCAACAAAAGAAAAUGGUGGAUGAUUUGAUUGAAAGGUACAAUAAAGAGAAAGAUCAGCUGGAACUGUCUAAAUCAAAAAUUGCUGAGGAAAAAUCAAAAGUAGAAAAAAUGAUGGAUGACACUUUCCUGUCAGAGAAAGAAGAGCUUGAAAGAAAAAAGAAAGACUUAGAAAAACAGCAAAAGGAAUCAAUGACUUACAAAAACGUGAUUGACAAAGACAAGAAAGAGUUAGAGCAAAAGAGGUCAGAUUUCUCCAAGCAAGUCAAGGAAUUUGAGCUCCACAAAGAACGGGUCCAAGAUCAAAUCAACCAAAAUGAGAUUGUUAAUGUGGAUUUACAAAAACAGAGACAUGAAAUUCAGAACAUGAAAGACAUCCUUCAGAAAGAAAAGGAUGAUUUAAAUCAAAUGAAAGUUGAGCUAAAACAACAAGAGAAUGACUUGGAAACAUCCAAAGAUGAUCUACAAAAGCAGAGGGAUGACAUCAAGAACAUGCAAUACAACCUUCAAAAAGAGAAAGAACACCUGGAUCAGAAGAAGGAUGAGGUUGAUCAACAAAAGAAAAUGGUGGAUGAUUUGAUUAAAAGGUACAAUAAAGAGAAAGAUCAGCUGGAACUGUCUAAAUCAGAAAUUGCUGAGGAAAAAUCAAAGCAUAAGAAAAUGAUGGAGGACACUUUCCUGUCAGAGAAAGAAGAGCUUGAAAGAAAAAAGAAAGACUUAGAAAAACAGCAAGAGGAAAUAAUGGCUUUCAAAAUCUUGAUAGACCAAGACAAGAAAGAGUUAGAGCAAAAGAGGUCAGAUCUCUCUAAGCAAGUCAAGGAAUUUGAGCUCCACAAAGAACGGGUCCAAGAUCAAAUCAACCAAAAUGAGAUUGUUAAUGUGGAUUUACAAAAACAGAGACAUGAACUUCAGAACAUGAAAGACAUCCUUCAGAAAGACAAGGAUGAGUUAAAUCAAAUGAAAGUUGAGCUAAAACAACAAGAGAAUGACUUGGACACAUCCAAAGAUGAUCUACAAAAGCUGAGAGAAGAUGAGAGAAAUUCAGUGAAGCAACUCUAUGAAGAGCUUGAGAAACAAAGAAAAGAUUUUGAAAAAGAAGUCCUGAACUUCAGAAAGGAAGAGUUGGAGUUUAUACAAUCUGGCAUACAGAAACAGAGCUUUGCAGUGCAGAAAAGAAUAAAGAGUGAGGAUGAGGUCAAUGAGAAAAUAUCACCAGAAGAGGAGAUGAAACGAAAAAAGGAAGAGAGUGAAGAAGUUAAAUCAAUUUUACCUGAGAAGUAUUGGUCAAAGAUACCAGGAGUUAUUGAAGCUAUAGAAAUAAUGACAAGCAGUGAGGAUAGAGACAAACGAAAGAAGCUGAAGAAGGACAGUGUAGACA